rnacentral:rRNA from 1 species
GAUGAACGCUGGCGGCGUGCCUAAUACAUGCAAGUCGAGCGAACAGACGAGGAACUUGCUCCUCUGACGUUAGCGGCGGACGGGUGAGUAACACGUGGAUAACCUACCUAUAAGACUGGGAUAACUUCGGGAAACCGGAGCUAAUACCGGAUAAUAUAUUGAACCGCAUGGUUCAAUAGUGAAAGACGGUUUUGCUGUCACUUAUAGAUGGAUCCGCGCCGCAUUAGCUAGUUGGUAAGGUAACGGCUUACCAAGGCAACGAUGCGUAGCCGACCUGAGAGGGUGAUCGGCCACACUGGAACUGAGACACGGUCCAGACUCCUGCGGGAGGCAGCAGUAGGGAAUCUUCCGCAAUGGGCGAAAGCCUGACGGAGCAACGCCGCGUGAGUGAUGAAGGUCUUCGGAUCGUAAAACUCUGUUAUUAGGGAAGAAUAAAUGUGUAAGUAACUAUGCACGUCUUGACGGUACCUAAUCAGAAAGCCACGGCUAACUACGUG